rnacentral:misc_RNA from 1 species
CACGACGACCCCCCACACUCUACACACACACACACACACAUCGCACACGUUUUGGAGAAGAGUACGCCCUGAACAAGAGCACCAAACAAAACACGUUCUCUUUCGUUUUUCUUCGACGUGUUGUCUUGUUUUUACACAGCUCGCGGGAUCACCAGUACCACAGAAGAAGGUAGUCUGCCGACCUUCACACGCAGAAGCUGUGCGGUCCAAGACGCGGCUUGCUCGGCCUGCACGUUGUGUUUCUGUACGACGGUGCUUCUGGUUGCAGCAAUUUCGCGCCCGUGAAGGACCUUGCACAGCGCCCUGUUUGUUUCUCCUCCCGUUGGGCACAGUGUGACUACUUCCUCGCAGCAUUUCUUUUCGUUUUUCUUUCGUAUUUCCUCUGACGGCGCUCUGUUCUCCGAUCCCUCCUCAUUGGCUCGUUAUGACUGUUCCGUUUCUGCUCUCGCUGUCUUCUCUGUUGGACUCUUAUCGUUGACCUCUUCUCCCCUCUCGGCGACCCUCUUCACGCCACCACUCAGAGGCACACGCAGCGUUGGCUAUUAAACUUAUUCCUCCGUUCGACUCCGUCGGUCGUGCCGCGGACUCUUCUUGAUCUCUGUGUCGACGCUGCAGAGAAUGUGCCGUAGCACCCCAUCAGCAGUGCAGCUCCUUGGAGCGCUUUUUGCGGUCGCGUGUCUCGUGCACACGUCGUUGGCGUACCCGUACGGACGGUCGUCGGCUGUCACAGAGCUGACGCCUGCCUCGCUGCACGCAUUUGUUAAUACACACAAGCCGGUGGUCAUCCUCUUUUAUGCGCCGUGGUGUGGCCACUGCAAGCAGUUCCACCCCGAGUAUGAGCGAUUUGCCGAGUCGGUGAAAGGCACCAUCCGCGUUGGCGCGAUCGACGCUGACAAGAACGCCGACAUUGGACAGCAGUUUGGCGUGCGUGGCUUUCCGACGAUCAAGUACUGGAAGAGCGGCACAAAGUCCGUCUCCUCCUCGCAGGAGUACCAAGGCCAACGCACAGCGGCGGCGCUGCAGAGUUUGGUGGUCGAGGGAAUCAGCUCGAGCAAGGUCAUGACAGUGACGACAGCAGAGCAGAUGAAGCAGGCCGCUCGAGACGCGCCAAAGAAGAUGAUCGGUGUGCUGCUCUCCGCGAAGAACAAGGUACCGCCGAUGUUUUCGGUCAUGGGCAUGUCGCCGAAGCUGAAGGAGCUGCCGCUGGUGUUCGCGGGUAGCAGUAGCCCUGAAAAGGGUGUGGCGAAGGCCUUUGGCGUCUCGCAACUCCCAAUGAUCGGCGUACUGCGCUACACCCCGGCCGAAGGUGAUGCAGAGGAGAAGUUUGAGAUGGUGCCGUACGCGAAAAAGGCUAUCGCCUAUGAGCCCGUCGCGCGCUUCUUCUUGGAUUGCGCGGAGAAGGAGUGCAGCGCCGGCACGGAGGCCCCAAUGAACUCCGUGAGCCUUGACGAGGAUGAAAGCCAGCACCAGACACGAGAAGCCGCGCGGCAGUCCUCUGUAGCACUUCCGGUAGAACCGGUCGAAUACACGCCAAAAGUGAUAUCACUGUUUUGCGCGCCGCAGACCCGCAAGAUUCGCGGCCAGUCCCCCCUGUGCGUUUUCAGCCUUAGCGAGCACGUCAACCUCGACAAUGUGCACCAGUACUUCAAGAACGACCCGUUGCUUUUCUUCGAGGCAUCUCAGCACAAGGAAGAGUUGCUGCAGCAGCUCCAAGCCGACUUUGGUGUGCAGAUAGCGUCUACUGGGGAGGCGAUGACGUCUUUGGCGGGGUCCAUUGUGGUUCUGCGCCAUUCGAAGCCGACAACAGUGCGGUACGCGCUGCUGGAGAAUAUUGACUCCGACGACGAUUUACAGGCAGCCCUGCAGCGCAUUCUGAAUGGUGAGGUUCACCUCCGGUCGGAGCGCGUUGGAGCUGCGUAGGCGCUCGCAUCCUUUGCCAUGUCGCCUUGGCAAGAGCCACGAAGAUGAAAGAGGGCGAAGAUUCUGGUUUGCAUUUUCCUCCCUCUCUUUCUCUACUGCCAGCUCCGUCAUUGCUCUGCGCGCGUUGCACUGCCUCGUCGCGGUGCCUGCGCACCGCUCUGGCGACUGUGGCUCGCGUUUCAUGAAAUCGUAUCUCCCCACGAGUGCGUUGAUGUUGUCGUGUCUUGUGUACGCUGUUCCUUUGACCUCGUCUCUUCUACAUCUUCGCGGUACAUCGCAUGGGCUUUUUUUUGCGCGCGUGUUUUUUUUUAUUCGUCUCACUUUAUCUUCCCUUUUUUCGUGCGUGCGUGUGUGCCCCGCCUUGGCGCGAGUGUGGCCUUUGUUCUCUCCUCUCGUUGCCAAUCUGUUUUGCGCUUUCCAUCUCCCUCGCCCUCCGCGCUUUCUCAUUUGAAUUGCUUCACCGGAUGGGUUUGUGUGCGCACCCGCCUGCCUUGUCUGUUGCCUUCAACGGAAAAGUCGAUGCUGCACAGGUGGUGACAACGGGUUCGCUACACUUGUCUGCAGAGAGAUUCGGAGAAUGCGUGGGAUGUCUGGUGGGGAAGGGCACGCGCCAGCUAAGGCUGAAGAGUGCCGCGCUCCGGUCUGGGUUUCAGACUCUACUCUGUCCGAGUGUGUGCGAAGCACUGGCUAAUCAAAAUACUCUUCUGGCACGUUGCCAGGGGCAAAGGAAG